rnacentral:rRNA from 1 species
UAUUUCCAACAUAUGAGUUGAGAUAAUGGCACUAAAUCCCACCUGAUCUUGGAAGCUAAACAAAAUUAGUCCUGGUUAGUACUUGGAUGGGAGAUGGCCAAAGAAUAUUAGGUUAUGGUUUUAA